rnacentral:rRNA from 1 species
GACGAACGCUGGCGGCGUGCCUAACACAUGCAAGUCGAACGGAGUUAAUUCUUCGGAUUUAACUUAGUGGCGAACGGGUGAGUAACGCGUGAGGAACCUGCCUUUCAGUGGGGGACAACAGUUGGAAACGACUGCUAAUACCGCAUAAUGUUAUCGGGUGGCAUCACUUGGUAACCAAAGAUUUAUUGCUGAAAGAUGGCCUCGCGUCUGAUUAGCUAGUUGGUGAGGUAACGGCUCACCAAGGCGACGAUCAGUAGCCGGUCUGAGAGGAUGAACGGCCACAUUGGGACUGAGAUACGGCCCAGACUCCUACGGGAGGCAGCAGUGGGGAAUAUUGGGCAAUGGGGGAAACCCUGACCCAGCAACGCCGCGUGAAGGAAGAAGGGCCCUUCGGGUUGGUAAACUCUUUUAGUCAGGGACGAAGGACGUGACGGUACCUGCAGAAAAAGACAACGGACUAACUAACGUG